UACGUAGGGUGCAAGCGUUGUCCAGAAUUAUUGGGCGUAAAGGGUUCGUAGGCGGUUUGUCGCGUCUGCUGUGAAAACUGGAGGCUCAACCUCCAGCCUGCAGUGGGUACGGGCAGACUAGAGUGCGGUAGGGGAGAUUGGAACUCCUGGUGUAGCGGUGGAAUGCGCAGAUAUCAGGAAGAACACCGAUGGCGAAGGCAGAUCUCUGGGCCGUAACUGACGCUGGAGGAGCGAAAGCAUGGGGAGCGAACAGG
rnacentral:rRNA from 1 species